rnacentral:rRNA from 1 species
CGGGACGGGUGAGUAAUGUCUGGGAAACUGCCCGAUGGAGGGGGAUAACUACUGGAAACGGUAGCUAAUACCGCAUAACGUCGCAAGACCAAAGAGGGGGACCUUAGGGCCUCUUGCCAUCGGAUGUGCCCAGAUGGGAUUAGCUAGUAGGUGGGGUAAUGGCUCACCUAGGCGACGAUCCCUAGCUGGUCUGAGAGGAUGACCAGCCACACUGGAACUGAGACGCGGUCCAG